CACAGAGGCUCGAAUUCCGGGGGCUGGACUCGAUGAUCUAUAAGGUCCCUUCCAACCCGCACGAAACUAUGAAACUAUGAAACUGAUGGCCAUCAAGGUUCUUGCUACUAUAAUCAAAGAAGCAAGUAUGGUUACAGCCAGCCCUUUCCAUUUACCAAACCAGAAUUCCAACCAUCCAUUGAUAGAAGUAUCUUCCUGAAGUUUCUGUCAAUUCAUCAGCAAGGGUGGUAAGCCUUUGCUGUGCCUUAGUUAUUCUGCCAUCUGGAGCUCUGUUCUGGGGAUGAAAGCAAUGGGUAGCUAGCAUUCCACACACGCACCUUUUUUCAGAUAACAUCAUAUCUAGCAUGAUCCUAAACUUGGGUUGGGCCACACAAGGAAGGGUGCCCAGUGGUCAUGGAGCAAUGGCACAGCCUUCACCAACUGGUCAUCCUGUCUGUCCAUCUGUCCUGGACAAGAUUUCCCACAGGCUGUGUUUAUAACUGGGAUCGUCUCCUGGGCCUGCAGCUGUGGUUUUCUAUGGGCUGCUGGGCUCAGGCUGGGUGCUGCACCAAGUCAUUCUGCCCUUCCCCAUUAGAGGCACUCCCAGCUUUUCUCAGCGCAUCAGGGCACCUUUCCCAUUCUCCUCCCUCUUGAGCACAGGUUCAAGCUGCAAGGUGGAGGUCAAUGUGCUUACCUGAAUGGGGACAGGAUCAGCUCAUCCUUGUGCUACCUACACAAACACUGGAACUGCAGCACAUCCUCUGGAAGCAAAAGUCACACUCAGAAUGAGACCCCGUCACCACCAAUUGCAUGCCAGUGCUCUUGCAGGAGGAACCCCUCAGAUGCUACUUCCCAGCGCUGCUGUAGUGGUGUCAGGUGGUUGCUCCUUGUUGUAUCUCAGAGUAACACCUUUGUAUAUAUCACAUCCUCAAAGAACCACAUAAUUGCAGUGUGGUGCUCCCUGUUCACUGUCUGGUAUUGUAGGAAUGGAAUGUUGUUUCUGCAUUAGAUAUUGAAAAGGGGGAAUUGAUCUGAAGUAAAGCACAAUGUAUUUGUAUUUUGUAACUUGUCCUUAGAAAUAGCUGACGUGAAAAAGUAGAAAUACCAUAUAUUUUACUAGCAUAUUUUAGAAAUUUAGUUGUUGAAGUAUAUGAUUGAUUCUUGCUUGCAAAACUGCAAUAGUUUUUAAAUGUUCCAAAUGGUAUAGGUAUAGUAUUAUGGACUAGAAAGCAUAAUGUAGGGUUAUUCUGUUUGGAUAAGAGACGCUCAGCAAAAGUAAAACAGACUUAACAGACAUCAAAGAAGCCAGGGCCUCAGCACAAGGCUGGAUUACUUUGCUCUUUGGGCAGGUUGGGAUGCAACAGGCAGGCAUCAAGAUACUCCUCCCUAUCCUCCUUCCAAACUUGUCUUUAUGCAGGGACAAGCAGAUGUCCAGAAACAAUGACUGAGUGUUGAAUGAGCAAAUGUGAGAAGUUAACUAAUACAUGCUUAGCUAGCAAAAAUUUAUGUUUAUCCAGUAUCCAUAUGUUUAGUUGAGUAUUGGGAAGAUUGUGAGCCUUAAGUACUUAGUCAAUGGGGAAUCAGGGGAGAAAGAGAUAAGCGUAGAGCAAUAGGGCAUAAACGAUGUAACAUUGUUUUCUGUAUGCUCUCCUGAUUGCAGGAAGCCCACCAUUGCAAUUGCCAUCUCUGCCAAUUCUAAAGAUUCUUUAAAGUCUGUUUCAAAGCCACUGGCUUUGGGCUUGUUGGGUUUGGCCCAAAACAGCAUUACUGGGACCAAGACUUAUACCAUCCACAGGCUUCCAGAUGCCAGUGCACAGGCCUGGGGCCUGUGCUGGCACCAUUCACCAGCUGCAGCUGCACCAGGCUGCAACGUGAGGCCCUCUGGAGAUAUCUGCAGUACCCAGGGGCCAAUUUGGGAUCCAAAUGGGCUAUUCAGUGAAGGAGAUUUGAUACCUCUUGGGGAAAUUUAUGUUUUGAUGCUGUAAUUUGAGAUAGAGCAAAGGAGAUUUGGCACCCAAAGAGGCAGUCUAGGAAUGCCGACUGUAUAAUGUGGUACACUAGGGGUUGGAGUACUCAGAAGACAGUUAUGGCACCUGUGGGGCCAUUUAAGGCACCAGGACUGCAGCAUGGGACCCACAGUGGGAAACAUGAAGCUCAGGACACAUCUGGGAACUGAAUCUGGGGCCCAGUGAGGUGACAAGAGCUUGGUUGAGGGCACCUGAAGCUCCUCUGGGAUGCCAUUCGGAGAUCCUAGGGCUGCAAUUCAGGGUCCACUGGGACACUGGGGGUACAAGGGAUGCCACGUGGGGACACCACAGGGGAUCCGAGACUCCAUAACUGGAAGUGAUGGGUGCAAUAUUUCUGCAGGGACCCAGCCACAUGAAAGACAUUCACAUCCCAAAGCCUCCCCACUGCCCAGUGCCCCACAGAGCUGCCUCCCAUCCAAUGCUAUCCCACAGAUCCAUCAACAUGACCCACUGCCAAAAGUCAACCAUUUUUUGUGUGAAAAUGCCAUCCUGGCAGAUACAGAGAAGGAAUUUGGCAGGUGGAAGAGGUUGUACAGGAGUCAACAGCAGUUUGGUGCUAACAGCCAGACUCGGAGACAUAGCUAUCACUCAGUCCAGCGGUGGCCACAAUGAGGGGCUGUGCAGACAUAGUAGAGCCUCAUGGCAUCCUGCAGAGUAGAAGGAGGUGAUAGUCACAGGAGGGGGACAUGAAGGGGUGGCAGCAGCAGAGAUCAGGCUGUGGGAUUUUGGGGUGGUGCCUCACCUCAGCUCUUGCACUGUGCGACUGGAAAAAAACAGCCUCCUUGUGCCCACACCUGGGGGAGAGAAAGAAAAGCAGUGACACAGCAAGGACUUGGAGCACGUAUAGAGCACAGGAACCACAAAAGGGGAUGUUAAAUAAUCCCACAGGGAAGUAAUGGAGCUGUCAGGGGUACAGGUGAUGUACAGGAUAUAGCAGAGCCCUGCAGCAGGAACAUGGCAGGGAUACCAUGCCCUCGACACUGGUAGGGUUGGAGCCCAGAGGGAAAGCAGCAGGGCUGGGGACACCCCUUGGCCCCAAAGGAGCCCCUCACAUCCCUGCAGGGGGUUCUGGUCCACACAGGGCUCCCCAAGUCCUCACUUCUGGCAGGGGUGGUCCUCAGUGCGUGGCAGCGUAGGGUCCUGGGAGACAUCAGCAAUGAUCUGCGUGAGUUCACUGUGAGAAGACACCCAGAUUGUUAAUCAACCCUUCUAACAAGCCCCAAGCUAGUUAAUGACUCUGUCAUCUCCCUUAUUAAUUGUAUCCUUAUUAACUGCUCUUGACUUGUUCCAUCCUACUGCCUUCUCCUUAUCAAUUAUUCUCUAUUUAUUCCUCAGUCAAUCUUAUUAACAAUUCCAACAGUCCCUUUAUGAUUCUUAUUAACUGCCUAUGAAUAUAUACCUCCUAUUAAUUGUCCCCAUUAGUUGCCCUCCAGUCAGCUUCCCUCAUUGCCUAUUAAUCACUCCUCAUUUACACCUCACUGUUAUUAACCCAACCAUUCUGUUGUCAUUCUUAUUACCUAU